GUGACAUUUUUAUCUGCAAGAUUAGGAAUCUCCAGCAAGUGUAUGCUACUAGUGCCAAAUGAGUUGAGCAACUAAAGAUUACAUGGGUUCCACGUGAUGUCAUCUCAUCAACAUUUAUUGAUCAUUUUUCCUUCUAUUUGAUUUAUUUAUUUAUUUUUAAUUCUGAAAAGCAUUUUCCUCCUCCUAUAAAUGAAUGCUUAUAUGAACACUUUUAACAUGUUGUAUGUAGGGAGUGAGAAUUGUAUGGGUGUAUCACAUCACUUGGCUAGUGAAUUCAGCUUGCCAUGUCUGGGGAAGACAGGCAUGGAACACUGGCGAUCUAUCUCGGAACAAUUGGUGGGUGGCAGUGCUUGCAUUUGGAGAGGGUUGGCAUAACAAUCACCAUGCUUUUGAAUACUCUGCUAGACAUGGACUCGAAUGGUGGCAACUUGACAUGACUUGGUAUGUGGUGAGGUUGCUUCAAGCUAUUGGAUUGGCCACUGAUGUCAAGGUUCCAACACAGAGUCAGAAGCAAAGGAUGUCUCUCAACAAUGGAGGCAUUGCCUUUUAGAUUUUCUUUGUUUUUGAUGGCAUAUUAGCCUAGGCUCUGUUUUUUCUGUACUGUUAAAGACUCUUAAAAACUUGAUUGAAUAUGGCGAGCGACUCUUUACUCUUGCUGAAGCUAUAAUUAAUGCAUAAAUGAUACAAAUUUUAUC